rnacentral:rRNA from 1 species
UACGGGGGGGGCAAGCGUUGUUCGGAAUUACUGGGCGUAAAGGGUUCGUAGGUGGCCUGCUAAGUCAGACGUGAAAUCCCUCAGCUUAACUGGGGAACUGCGUCUGAGACUGGCGGGCUUGAGUGCAGGAGAGGAACGCGGAAUUCCAGGUGUAGCGGUGAAAUGCGUAGAUAUCUGGAGGAACACCGGUGGCGAAGGCGGCAUCCUGGACCGGCAUUGACGCUGAGGCGCGAAAGCCAGGGGAGCAAACGGG